ACGAGGGAGACAGGUGGUGCAUGGUUUGUCGUCAGCUCGUGUCGUGAGAUGUUGGGUUUAAGUCCCGCAACGAGCGCAACCCCUACGUUUAGUUGCUAACGCGUGAAGGCGAGCACUCUAGACGAACUGCCGUUGACAAAACGGAGGAAGGUGGGGAUGACGUCAAAUCAUCAUGCCCCUUAUGUUCUGGGCUACACACGUGCUACAAUGGCCGGUACAGACGGACGCAAAGCCGCGAGGUGGAGCAAAUCCCAAAAAGCCGCUCUCAGUUCGGAUUGCAGGCUGCAACUCGCCUGCAUGAAGCCGGAAUCGCUAGUAAUCGCCGGAUCCAGCAUGCCGCGGUGAAUACGUUCCCGGGCCUU
rnacentral:rRNA from 1 species